AAACCUUCAAGCAUAGCUUGGUGUUGGGUGCUUGUCCUCCCCCGCGGCGGACUCACCUCAAAUGCAUUGGCGGCCGGUAUGUUGGCUUCGAGCGCAGUACAACGCGCAAGGCGUCUUGACAUGCUGGUCCUCCACAAGACCUUCUUAA
rnacentral:misc_RNA from 1 species